UACGAAGGGGGCUAGCGUUGCUCGGAAUCACUGGGCGUAAAGCGCACGUAGGCGGCUUGCUAAGUCAGGGGUGAAAUCCUGGAGCUCAACUCCAGAACUGCCUUUGAUACUGGCGACCUUGAGUCCGGGAGAGGUGAGUGGAACUGCGAGUGUAGAGGUGAAAUUCGUAGAUAUUCGCAAGAACACCAGUGGCGAAGGCGGCUCACUGGCCCGGUACUGACGCUGAGACGCGAAAGCGUGGGGAGCGAACAGG
rnacentral:rRNA from 1 species